rnacentral:lncRNA from 1 species
CUCGAGUUUAUUGGUCGAGCUUAACACUUGACAUUUUCUUCAUUUUUUCCAGAUGUUGAGUAUAGCUCGAGGACUCUCUCUGCAAGGGCUCGAGGAGGCCAAGAGGGCAGCUGGGGUCGAGACGUCCAUGGCCUCUAAGGACAGCAGGAUUCAAGACCUCGAGGCCCAGGUCGAGGUUUUACUGAAGGAGCGUGAUGACGCAAGGAGGGAGGCUGCGAAGGCCAGGGAUGACUUGGUUGCAGCAAAGGAUGAGGUCGAGGGGGCGAGGCUCGAGCUCAUCCAGAAGACAAAGGAUUUCGGGCGCGAGCUCGAGGCUGUCAGGGAGAGGGCUUGGGAGGAGUUUAAAACCUCCGAGGACUGCGACAAGAUAAAAGGGGAGUAUGCGUCGGGGGCGUACUUCCAUGCUCUGAAAGAAGUCCGGGCCUUCCUCAGGCAGAAGUUGCCCGACGUCACUCCAGACGACCUGAAGACGGUGCCUUCCAUUGCUGAUACAUUGGAGCUCUCGGGUUCAGAAGAUGGAGGAGGAUCGGGUGGAGAUGAUGAGGAUGGUCUUGAGGACGACGUUGAGAUCGACAUCAGCAACCUCGACCCUCCUCUUGGCCACAUUGGAUGACUUCCCCACCCCGAUCCUUUGUAAUUUUUUGGUUUAAUUUCGACAAUGUAAAUUGAUCGAGGAUUAUGUAUGUUUAGUUAAUUUAUUCGAACUAUUUAUCUCAACCCCUUGGACUCCAUAUAAUCGAGCAAACAAAUUCAAAACUUACUGCUCACGCGAUAUUGAAGUGUUUACUCGAGGAUAGGGAUUAAAAGGUGAGACGAACAUUCUCGAGCACAAAUAAAAAAUAUGAUGUGUCAUUCUCGAGGACCGUAAAUCUCGAGCAUAAUUAACCUUAAAAAAUGAGGCCGUUCUCGGGGACUGUAAUCCCGAGCACAACUAAACUUUUAAAACUGAGUGACAUUCUUGAGGACUGUAAACCUCGAGCACAAUUAAUCUUAAAAAAUGAGGCCAUUCUCGAGGACUGUAAUCCCGAGCACAACUAGACUUUUAAAAAAUGAAUGACAUUCUCGAGGACUGUAAUCCUCGAGCACACUACUUUAAAAGUUGGGUUGUGAUUUCCUCGAGGACUGUAAUCUCGAGCACACUAGACUUUUAAAAAAUGAAUGACAUUAUCGAGGACUGUAAUCCUCGACCACACUACU